GAUCAUGGCUCAGAUUGAACGCUGGCGGCAGGCCUAACACAUGCAAGUCGAACUGUAACAGGAAGCAGCUUGCUGCUUUGCUGACGAGUGGCGGACGGGUGAGUAAUGUCUGGGAAACUGCCUGAUGGGAGGGGGAUAACUACUGGAAACGGUAGCUAAUACCGCAUAACGUCGCAAGACCAAAGGAGGGGGACCUUCGGGCCUCUUGCCAUCGGAUGUGCCCAGAUGGGAUUAGCG
rnacentral:rRNA from 1 species